UUUGAAAAAAGCUCAUCUCACGGAUCUUGCCUUCCCUUUCUCCCACAUCCCCAUUCCCCCCUUCCACCUAUUUAUACCCUCUCUCCCUCUUCUUUCCCAAACAGCUGCUCAAAUUAUUAUUUGAUCAAACUAAACUCACAAUCCAAUGGCUUCUUGGGUUCGAACAAUCACCACCCCCUUUCGGAAAGCUCGUACGUUGUUCAAUCCCCAACCCCGAGACAAGAAAUCCCAACAGCAAGGGCAAUACGAGGAUAAUAAUAGGAUAGCGGAUUUGCAUGGGGAAGUGAUGGCAUGUGGAUACGAGGAUGUACAGGUGAUGUGGUCAAUUUUGGACAAGUCUAAGCCCAGGCCAUGCAAUAUCACUUCUUCAUAAGGACUGCUUUGCAAAUAACACCACUCAACUGCGAAUCUCCAAAGAAAGAAAAUUGUAUAUAUAAGUGAGUUAUUAUAUAAUAUAUUCUUGUUGAUGAGGUGGGAAGAAGAAAGACGACGCCCAAAGACAAGAUCGAAGUUGCAGCCAUAGAGAUAGACAAAUUUUGGGCAGUAGGAAAUUAAUAUUUAGAAAUUGCCCCCUCAAGAUUUGAUGCUGGUGGCAACUACUUUGUACUUAUUUACAAAUACAUCCUUUUCAUCGCAAAUUUUAUAUUUAUGUCCUUAUUUCAA